rnacentral:lncRNA from 10 species
UUUUUCCCUCCUGCCACAGUCCAGGGUAGGAGAUACUUCUCCAGGCUCUCACUUAUGGGGGCUUUCCUGCUGGCUACAUCACUGAAAUGGAAUCUCCUAGUGGCCCUUCUCCCUCUACAGCUCUGGUGUUACACUGAAAAACUAGAAGUUUCAAAACAGACAAGGGAAAAAGAGAAACAUCAGAAAGUCUGAUUAAAGUAGAAGCAUCAUAUUUCUAUCAACGUAUCCACUGUGCUUGGCAUUAUAGUAUACAUAGCCUUGGAAUCAGAAGACCAAGAACAUACAAGAGAACAUAGCCUUGGAAUCAGAAGACCAAGAAACAAUUUAACUCUGCCCCUCUAGAGCUCUGAGAACUUGGGCAAGCCUUUUACCCUCUGUGAGUUUCAGUUUCCUCAUUUAUUUAAUUGAAAUAAUAAUACAGAUCACCUGAAAUGUAAUGAAAAUUAAACAUCCUUAUGUAGGUGAAACCAA